rnacentral:rRNA from 1 species
CCUACGGGAGGCAGCAGUGGGGAAUAUUGCACAAUGGGGGAAACCCUGAUGCAGCGACGCCGCGUGAGCGAUGAAGUAUUUCGGUAUGUAAAGCUCUAUCCGCAGGGAAGAAAAUGACGGUACCUGACUAAGAAGCCCCGGCUAACUACGUGCCAGCAGCCGCGGUAAUACGUAGGGGGCAAGCGUUAUCCGGAUUUUCUGGGUGUAAAGGGAGCGUAGACGGCGGUGUAAGUCAGAUGUGAAAGCCCGGGGCUCAACCCCGGGACUGCAUUUGAAACUGUGCUGCUAGAGUGCAGGAGAGGCAGGCGGAAUUCCUAGUGUAGCGGUGAAAUGCGUAGAUAUUAGGAGGAACACCAGUGGCGAAGGCGGCCUGCUGGACGAUGACUGACGUUGAGGCUCGAAAGCGUGGGGAGCAAACAGGAUUAGAUACCCGAGUAGUC